rnacentral:rRNA from 1 species
CUUCGGGAGGGGGAUAACUAUUGGAAACGAUAGCUAAUACCGCAUAACGUCUACGGACCUAAGAGGGCUUUUAGCUCUCACCUGAAGAGGAACCUAAGCGAGAUUAGCUUGUUGGUGAGGUAAAGGCUCACCAAGGCGACGAUCUCUAGCUGUUCUGAGAGGAAGAUCAGCCACACUGGGACUGAGACACGGCCCAGACUCCUACGGGAGGCAGCAGUGGGGAAUAUUGCACAAUGGGGGCAACCCUGAUGCAGCCAUGCCGCGUGUGUGAAGAAGGCCUUCGGGUUGUAAAGCACUUUCAGUCGUGAGGAAAGGUUAGUAGUUAAUACCUGCUAGCUGUGACGUUAGCGACAGAAGAAGCACCGGCUAACUCCGUGCCAGCAGCCGCGGUAAUACGGAGGGUGCGAGCGUUAAUCGGAAUUACUGGGCGUAAAGCGCACGCAGGCGGAUUGUUAAGCUAGAGGUGAAAGCCCCGCGCUCAACGUGGGAAUUGCCUUUAGAACUGGCAGUCUAGAGUCUUGGAGAGGGGAGUGGAAUUCCAGGUGUAGCGGUGAAAUGCGUAGAGAUCUGGAGGAACAUCAGUGGCGAAGGGACUCCCUGGCCAAAGACUGACGCUCAUGUGCGAAAGUGUGGGUAGCGAACAGGAUUAGAUACCCUGGUAGUCCACACCGUAAACGCUGUCUACUAGCUGUUUGUGUAUUCUAUACGUGAGUAGCGAAUAACGCGCUAAGUAGACCGCCUGGGGAGUA